UUGUCUUUUUCGUUUUCUUUCCUCGACGCUUCUCGGUUCCUCCAUCCCUUUGCGGCACGCGCCCACCACCAACGCCGCGGGCGAAUUGGAGGGCUCUAUGUGCCUGCCCCGGGGGUGUCGCCGCGGGCCCCGGGGCCGUCUCCCCUACGGGCCGGGGACCGAGGGGGGGGCCGCCUUGCCGCCAGGAGCAGCGCGGGCGGGAGAUGCGCGGAACGUCCAGGACGGGGAGGGGGCCGCGCCAGCGCCCGGGCCCUGCGUCCCUCCCCAUCUGUCGGACCAAAGCUGCUGAAGCUGCAGAAUUGCGCUGGCGCCCGUCCACCGGCUGCAAACAAAACCAAACAAAACGCGGCGAAAGGAAAAGCGAAAUGGCGCUGCUGAAAAUGGAGCCUCGGCCUCUAGGACGUCUUUCUUUCCUCUGUCUCUUACUUCGUCUACUUCGUGUUUCUAGUCCUUCAACGCCCCUCUCCUCGGCUCUCCUCCCUGUAAUCUCUACCCCAUCGCCCCUUUGCUUUUCUGAUUAACAAUCUCCUUUCCCCGCUUUUCCUUCUUUCCUUUCCCCUCUCGGUUCCUCCUUCUCCAUUUUGUGUCACAGGCGCUUCUCUUCUCAGUUCCCUUUCUGGGCUCGCGCUCCCCCGCCCGUCUCACUUGAUGUUUUCUGCGUGUCGGGGAGCGGGGGUGGUAGGGACGGUGAGGCUAGGUAGUGAGUGGGUUUGGUAGAGACAGGUUUUAUUUAGAACCCAAACAGCUCCUUUAAUUAGCCGUACGCUCGCCCUGCGCCCUCGUUCCCCGAGGCUCUGCGCCCGGACUCGCGCGGCGCCGUCCCACCAGCCAGGCGUCACCGCCCAGGAGGCGGCUCAGGGCUUACGCAGAAGUGAAUACCUUUUUAUAUAUUUUAAGCUUAGAAUAUCGUUUUUGCAGUGAUCGUGAGCGUGGCAUACUUCGGAUAGGUGGAUCUCAUUUUCCCAAGGGACUUCUAAAGACCAUUUUAAGAGAAGCGUGCAGAGAAGACAGCAAUAUUAAUCACUUUUUCUUGUUUUCUUUUGAGCAGAGGGAACCCCAAGCACUAAGAUACUUAUGUUUUUAAGGCCAGACUUUUUUGAAAAUGACUUUUUCUUUUACACUCAUAGUUGACUUUGAUCCUUUAAAAAAAAAGAGGGUGAACUCUUUCAAAAGAGACCGAUGCUUUUGAAUACAUAACACCCCCCAAUUGUGGUUCUCGGAUAGUUUCUCUAGACGCAUUAUGAUUUUGAGGUUCAAGGUCUCUAAGCGCUCUUCAGUGAAACAGUGGGAAAUAUGUUGCUACGUUAAAAGAGCAGAAGGUGAUAUUUCCUGAUUGUGCUCUAUCUUAGUAGUAGAGAGUGUCGGGGUUUGUUUUUGCUUUUUUUUGGGGGGGGGCUAAGGGGGAAUUGGGCAGAAUUUGCCUUGGUUCUGUUAAAGAACCAGCUGAUAGAAGCUAUUUCAAGUGAAGAGCUUCAGUCAAUACGAAUCUUAAAGCAGUGACAUCAUUUUCUGACCUGAGUUCGUCUUUUAGUCAUGGUAGAAAGGUUAGUCUCCGUACAAUAUUUGAAAAUAAACUGAUUUUGCUUCCCAGUAUAUUUAGUACCAACUACACUUCACUUUAUUCCCAAAUCUUCUGGCCAGUUUCACCUCCUCUAGAGGUCUGUCAGAACCAUAUCCUCCAGAAGAAAAUACAAGUGCUCCUCCCGUAUGUGAUUCUAAUGCUCUUGGAAUUAUUUGAAAAGAUGUCAAACUCUUACAAGGAGAAUCUUUUAAAAAAUGUCUCAGAUUAUUAUAAUUGGACUUCCCUGGUGGUGCAGCGGUUAAGAAUCCGCCUGCCAAUGCAGGGGACACGGAUUUGAGCCCUGGUCCGGGAAGAUCCCACAUGCCGCGUAGCAACUAAGCCCGUGUGCCACAACUACUGAGCCUGCGCUCUAGAACCCGCGAGUCACAACUACUGAAGCCCGUGCACCUAGAGUCCAUGCUCCACCACGAGAGAAGCCACCGCAAUGAGAGGCCUGCGCACGGCAAUGAAGAGUAGCCCCUGCUCGCUGCAACUAAAACAACAAAAAAAGAAAGCCCGCGAGGAGCAACAAAGACCCAACGCAGACAAAAAUAAGGUAUCCGGUCUCACCCCUAAACCCUGGGUAGGCCAUGUCUCUACUCUGUUACAGCCAGAGUCUGACCACUCAGGGUGGCAGAAAGGACAUGUCUGGAGAGAUGCAAGUUUGUCUGCUGGAUUGAAGAGUAGGACUAGGGAAGAAGACAAGGCGUGAUGAGAGAGAUGAAGCUGGAGAGGAAGUAGCUGCAAGGAGGAGGCUAUUCCCAGGGCUUUGGUCUGUACGCACUCCCCAUACCUGAAAUUUUAUUGGAACUGUGGAAAUGGGGCAGUGGUUUUACUUUUCACUCUGCCUUCAGUGGGACUCCCUGGAAGAAGUGCUGUGCCAGUGACUGGUAUUUCUCCUGAAUAAAGCAUCUUGGCCUUAAUGACCGCA